UAAUGAAAUGUAUGUAAGUCGCUCUGGAAAAGAGCAUCUGCUAAAUGACUAAAA
rfam:Salmo salar isolate Sally breed double haploid chromosome ssa09, whole genome shotgun sequence.